CACGAACGACAGGGGAGCGUCUUGGACGCUGAGAGUGCGGACAACCGCAGACCCUCGAACCUGAUCCGGGUGAUACCGGCGUAGGGAGUCGGGAAUCUCAGGCC
rnacentral:ncRNA from 2 species